UUUUGGACAAUGGGCGAAAGCCUGAUCCAGCAAUGCCGCGUGUGGGAAGAAGGCCUUCGGGUUGUAAACCACUUUUGUACGGAACGAAACGGUCUGCUUUGAUACAGUGGGCUAAUGACGGUACCGUAAGAAUAAGCACCGGCUAACUACGUGCCAGCAGCCGCGGUAAUACGUAGGGUGCGAGCGUUAAUCGGAAUUACUGGGCGUAAAGCGUGCGCAGGCGGUUAUAUAAGACAGUUGUGAAAUCCCCGGGCUCAACCUGGGAAUUGCAUCUGUGACUGUAUAGCUAGAGUACGGUAGAGGGGGAUGGAAUUCCGCGUGUAGCAGUGAAAUGCGUAGAUAUGCGGAGGAACACCGAUGGCGAAGGCAAUCCCCUGGACCUGUACUGACGCUCAUGCACGUA
rnacentral:rRNA from 1 species